rnacentral:misc_RNA from 1 species
CCGAUAUUUUUGUUGAUCGUGUUCGUCCUAUCUAUCGUGAUAUUUAUAUGUACACACAUAUCCAAUGUUUUUGCAUGUUCUGUAAGUUCUGUAAGAAGUGAUUGAUUCAAGCAGCACAAUGUUGGAAAAACAAUAUUCAGUUCAGUUUUUCACAUCCCUAGUGGAAUCGAUGCAGAAGGUGUGUCGAGAAUACCUGCAGUUUGAACAAGCCGUGGAGCUGAGUGGGUACCUGUCUCUGGAGAUCGACAACACAAAGCGUGAGAGGUACGUUGUCAGUGAACUGCUGCACAACACGGGCAAUGUGAUCAGUGAGAGCUACUGCACCAAGGCCUUCAAGACUGUGCCACACCACGCCAAAAACCACGACAGUGAUCGCGACGUGUUGCGUGAGUUAAACAACAGACAGCGUGACCAGUCUCACGUGUUGACCGUCGGAGCCGAUUCGGGUGGAUGUUCGAAACAGUUUGUUGAUCGUUCUGCGGCAGGUUUCUCCUCCUUCGUGAAUGAGAAUCCUGUGCGAAAGAAUAACUCAUUUCCUCGGACGGACAUUUCUCAGCAGGAGGAGAUUUCGUAUACGACAGACGACUGGCAGUCGACGUGUGUACAGUAUCAGAGUGGUUCAGUAGAGACAGGCAGUGCAACAUGCGUGUUCCCUGGGUCACCUUCAGUGAAUGGCAGCUGUAACAGAAUGGAGCUGACAUCAGGGAAAAGACGUACUGCGCACACAGCAUCUACGUCAGAACCAAAAAAGGGUAAACCAUCAUCAAGCAGGGAGCUCUCUGAACGUCUGUCAUCAUCUUCUGUGUUGAGUAACAUUCAACAGAGCAGUGACCAGUCUGUGUCUCCAUAUUCCACAACCAGUGAUUCGCAGUCUUCAGUAACCAACACGUGUAAUAUCAACUCUCAGUCUUCAGUAACCAACACGUGUAAUAUCGGAUCACAGUCUUUGUUACCCAACCCGUAUAAUAUCAAAACAGAGGACGACUCGUCCUUGCAGUUUGUUCAGAUAGAUGAAGCAGAAGACAGCAGUGGUUUACUAGAUGGUAGACUUGGUAGUGAUCGCUUCAGAUCAAUGUCCGAGAACGAUCAGAAAUCGGAUGAAGCGCUGCAUAGCAUUCAAGGGAAUCACAGUCUUUGGCAAGAAGGAGAUGAGCCAAACCGACAAGUGGAAUUGUUCAAGACUGGAGAUGAAAGCUUCAUGUGUGAAAAUACCACUGUCCUCGAUCAAACUGCACAGUCUGCUGCUAACAUCAGGUUCAUCUGCCGCGUCUGCCAGAGGGCGUUUCUCACCAGACAACGUUUACAACGCCACGUGUUCACUCACAGCAUGGUCAAACCAUAUCACUGCGACGAGUGCCACACUCCGUUCAGUUCACAGACGGCCAAGAACCAGCACGUUCGGAUGAUACACAGAAAUGACUAUCCCUUCACGUGUGUCCUGUGUGGGUUAGGCUUCUCCAGAAUGUCACGUCUUGAGAAGCACACUGCAAAGACUCAUACAUGUUCCAGGCAAUAGCGGUUACCAUCUUAAAACAAGCCUCACAUAUUCUUGCCCAGACCAGCACGGUUAAAGGGAACGAAGGAGGUUUGGUUAAUGCAGAAACAAAUGCCAUCUACAAAUCUACUCAGCACCCCCGUAUCGUCUCACCCAGACGCAGCUCAGUGGUCUGAUGUGCGUAACCCAUGGCAUGCCUGGCCUGAAAACACUUCUUGUGGAACUUCCUGUAGAACACGGAGGCCGGCAGUGCAGCCCAGGCACUCUUCAAACACACGCACUGAAAAUAGUCUGGAAGAGAAAAAAGAUUCCUGUUACUAAAUGCACACCGAACUAAGAAGUAAACUGCAUGUUUUCUUUAACAACACCUCAGCACGUUGUUUAGUUGGUGGUUAUUAGGAAAGGAAAAGAAUGCUUGCUAAUGACACAUAAGGACAUUGAUUAGUCAUGUACAAGUGGGGAAUGGCAACUUUUAGAAAUAAUAUGCGAUUUGAAGCCCUAAUGAUAUACCGGUACUCUACAUAAAAUGCAAGGAUCGAUCAAGUGAAGAAGAGUGGAAUGUUUGUAUAAUGACAACCAGAGAGAGAGAGAGAGACAGACAGACAGAGAGAGAGGGAAGGAGGGAGACAGACGGAGAAAGAGAGGGGGAGGAACCAGACCAGACAGACAGCGAACAGGGAUGAACAGAACAGUGCAUACCAUCAUCUUUGAUAUACCAGUUAUGAAGCAGAUUUGAACAGGAAAAAAACAAUGGUUUCUCAAGCAUAUUCAUGUUCCUAUCUCUGCAGGCAUGUGUGCAAGGCAAGGGGGGGGGGGGUGAUUGGGGGUCAAACCCCCCUGCAAAAAGUGAAUUUUCUUUUUAUUAAAAUAUAUUUUCUGGAGGAAUCGUACUGUAGGGUGUAUACUACCAAAUCAAAUCCCAUAGACGACAAUAGUAACAUAAGUGGCUAAAACUCCUACCUGCAACGUA